rnacentral:misc_RNA from 1 species
GAUGAAGAACGCAGUGAAAUGCGAUAAGUAGUGUGAAUUGCAGAAUUCAGUGAAUCAUCGAAUCUUUGAACGCACAUUGCGCCCCUUGGUAUUCCAUGGGGCAUGCCUGUUCGAGCGUCAUUUGUACCUUCAAGCUUUGCUUGGUGUUGGGUGUUUGUCUCGCCUUUGCGUGUAGACUCGCCUUAAAAUAAUUGGCAGCCGGCGUAUUGAUUUCGGAGCGCAGUACAUCUCGCGCUUUGCACUCAUAACGACAGCGUCCAAAAGUACAUUUUACACUCUUGACCUCGGAUCAGGUAGGGAUACCCGCUGAACUCAAGCAUAUCAAUAAGCGGAGGA